CUCAAAAUCAAAGUAGCGUAGAAGAUUGGAGCCUCAUAACAGGGAAUAAAAGAAAAACGUCCCAAUAAGGCCAAGGAGAAAGGAGUAUUGCGUUAGUUACUUAGUUCACAAUACUUCACGUGCACCAUGUUUUGUGCUCAAGUUUCUCAAUAUUGCAGUGCAGUAUCUGAAUUGUCGAAGCAUGGAUCGUGUGUAUAGGAG
rnacentral:misc_RNA from 1 species